UACGUAGGGUGCGAGCGUUGUCCGGAAUUAUUGGGCGUAAAGAGCUCGUAGGCGGUGUGUCGCGUCGGCCGUGAAAACCUGGGGCUCAACUCUGGGCGUGCGGUCGAUACGGGCAUCACUGGAGUUCGGCAGGGGAGACUGGAAUUCCUGGUGUAGCGGUGAAAUGCGCAGAUAUCAGGAGGAACACCGGUGGCGAAGGCGGGUCUCUGGGCAGUAACUGACGCUGAGGCGCGAAAGCGUGGGGAGCGAACAGG
rnacentral:rRNA from 1 species